GUGCCAGCCGCCGCGGUAAUACCGGCAGCGCAAGUGAUGGCCGAUCUUAUUGGGCCUAAAGCGUCCGUAGCUGGCCGGGCAAGUCCAUCGGGAAAUCCACCCGCUCAACGGGUGGGCGUCCGACGGAAACUGCACAGCUUGGGACCGGAAGGCUCGAAGGGUACGUUCGGGGUAGGAGUGAAAUCCCAUAAUCCCGCACGGACCACCGAUGGCGAAAGCACUUCGAGAAAACGGAUCCGACAGUGAGGGACGAAAGCCAGGGUCUCCAACCGGAUUAGAUACCCCGGUAGUCC
rnacentral:rRNA from 1 species